ACCCAUAUGUUGAUAUUUUUUUUGGGGGAUGAGAACCCCAUCAGCCAAUUUUCUCUUCUUUUCCAUCCAGUAGCAGUAACUAUUGCUGCCAUUGUUGUUCUUCUUUAUCUCCUUACUUUUUUUCUCCAUUUUCUCUCAAAUAUUUCAUUAUCCACAUUGUAAUAAUGUUGAAAUCUCAUGAAAUCAACCCCCUAAGCUCAUUUCCUUCCUCAAUUUCAGCCUUGGCAGCCUAGGGUUUCAUGAAUUUUAGUGGGAUAAUUCGUGGCUUAAGUGAGAAAACUCUAAUAAGGUAAGAAAUGGUUUCCUACAUCAACUUUAACUUGAUAUUUGCUAUGAUUUGUCAUAAGAAAACUUUGAAGGAAUUUAUAUUAAUUUUUUAUAGUAUUUUUGUUGUAUGAAAAUGAGGAGAUGAUGAUUUAUGGAAAUUAUAAGCUUGAAUGAUGUUAGAGUGGAGCUCAUGGAAGCUUUGAUUAAGUGUUUUAGAGCAUCCACUAAGAUGGUCACGCUGCCACGUUAGCUCCUUAACAUCUACGAGGCCUAGUCAGUGAGUUACGUCGCGAUAAGGAACUCUUGAAGUCACGACGUCAACUUAAUAUUUUACAAUCUUUACAAUUUGGUCUUAAUUCAAUCUCAGGUUAGCAUAAGAGCUUUCGUAAGCUUGUAUAUGAUUCGUAGAUGAUUAUAUAUCAUAUCAUAUCAUAUCAUAUCAUAUGCAUGUAUUACUCGUAUUUAAAUUUUUAAUGGUAUAAAUCGAAUAUAUUUUAUCGUAA